GCUUUGCCUUGCUGGAAGCAUAGGGACGUUUUAGGUCCCAGAGACUGUUUUUGUAUUGUUAUCUUUUCUCUACUAAUGGCCGAUCCUUUUCCCGUCAAAAAGAAAGGACUGAGUCUCUCAAAUAAUAUUUCUGUGACCUCUAGCGACAGCCAAAUGUAUAUGGGUUGGUCGUCUUUUUCUUUCUUUCUUGUUUUCCUCGUGUCCAAAGUGAGGUCAUUUGUAGACAGUUCCUAACUUGCCUUUUGCUGUCGAACAGACUGCAGUGGCGGUCCUUUCCACUACCUGGGGGAGUGAAAGAGAAAAAGAGAUUCACAGCUCGGAUUUCCUGCAGAUGCUAUGUUUUACCCGCCUGCCCGUCCAAAAAACGCAUAGAGGUUGUCGCUUAUCCAAUAGGUCCCCCUUGAUGGCACAGGGAGCAUCUAGAAAUGAACGCAAGGAGAAACGAAUCGUUUUCUUAAAAGAUCUGAUAACUCACUGGAGCUUUCAUGCAACAUGGCUAGAAAAACAGCGAUGCAUUGCAGAAGAAGAAGGAGGAGAGUUCAGAAUCCUCCUGGCAAGGGGUUCCGAAGUUAGAAACAAACGCAAGUCACUUGGAGCAGUAACUCUGGAAACACACGAAGCCACGCCUGACGUUGUAGUCAGCAACAAGCUGAAGCCAAGGGGGAAAUGUUUAGAUGAAGAAGAAUGUAAAGAGCAUGUGCGUCCAUUUCAAUAAUGCCUACUUGCUGUUGGAAGUAUAUAUCAACACAUACACAUUAAAAAGGCUCCUGAUCUGUUUCUUUCAUGCCUACAAUUGGGGAUGAGCUGUCUGGUGAGGAAUCCAAGGAGUUCCUGGUCUAUUUCUGUGGAGAAUUUUAGACACUUUCCCCCUCUGAAACAGGGAGAUGGCUUCCAAGAAACUUGGAAAGAUAGUUGUUUUCACUGUGGCUUUGUUUUCUGCUAUUCUCUGUUUAUUUGUCAAGCUGAGUUCUGUCGGAAUUUGCAUGUUCUGUGAGACAAAAAGUGAGCUCUUUCCCUUUAAGAGAGACAGUGGACUUUUUUUGAGGCUGCCUCGUACGGAUUGCAGAAAGAAUCCCCCAUUCCUGGUCAUUCUUGUGACAUCAUCUCAUAAACAAUCAAAAGCCCGGAUGGCUAUCCGUCAGACAUGGGGCAGAGAAAAAAAAGUAGCCAACAAACGCAUUGCGACCUAUUUUCUCCUGGGAACUACUUUCAAUCAUGAUGACCAGAUUGCUAUUGCUGUUGAGAACAAGAAAUACAGAGACAUUAUCCAGAAAGAUUUUAUAGAUUCCUACUACAAUUUAACAUUAAAGACUAUGAUGGGCCUUGAAUGGAUUCACAAAUUCUGCCCACAAUCCAGCUUUGUGAUGAAAACAGACUCUGAUAUGUUUGUGAAUACCAACUACCUGACUGAACUCCUCCUAAAGAAAAACAAGAAUAAUAGGUUCUUCACUGGCUUUUUAAAAGUGAAUGAACGCCCAAUACGAAAGCUGACCAGUAAGUGGUAUGUAAGUGAAGAAGAAUAUCCAGGAGACACGUACCCUCCUUUUUGUUCAGGGACUGGUUAUGUUUUCUCUAUAGAUAUUGCUAGCAAAGUAUAUACAGUUUCCAAAGAUGUUCUUUAUAUUAAGCUAGAGGAUGUUUUCAUGGGCCUGUGCCUUGCUAAACUCAACAUCAAACUGGAAGAACUCCAUUCAGAGCAAACGUUCUUCCCAGAGAAGGUCAAUUUUUCUGCUUGCCGUUUUAGGAAAAUUGUGACAAGCCACUUUGCAAGACCUCAUGAGAUUCUGAUCUACUGGGAUGCACUGGCAAGAUCCCUGGAUGAAAACUGUCAUGAUGGCUGAUAUAUUUCAACCAUAGUAAACAGAGGCAAAAGAAUACAAAGAUCUUAAAUCUUAAAGUCUGCUUAGAACAGGAUCCAAAGCGGUGAGCGGGAACACCAGGAAGUAAUGGAGUUUGCAAGAUUCCUCUCUGAAAGCAGCUCCCUGUGAUACUUCAGAAGUCACACGAGAGACUCAGGAAUUUUGAGAGUGGUUUCUGAUGCAUUUCAAUAAACUGCACCAGGACAAGAAGAUAUUGGCGGUGCUGCAGCCUGCAUGAGAAAGUUGCUCAUGUAAUUCCAACAUGAAGCAACUGUUAUAUAUGUGCAAAUCGCUAUUGAUAGGGAAGACACAGUAGGUAGGCUGUCAUUAUGGCAAUACAAAAAAAAAAUCCAUAUUGAAAUAACCCAGAUUAAUCUGCCAUGCUGUACAAGCUUGCAGUUUCCUCUAUUCAAUUUCAUGUGCUUUUCUGAAGACAACUGGCUUCUGUCAAUUACAGUUUAUUCAGUAAUUGAGUGUGACUGCUGAGUUAAGCAAUUUAAAAUCCCACUAAUUUUAAUGGGAUUGACCCUGCCGAAAUCAAAGUGCUGGCUAAGGCCCCAUAUUUAUCACAAAUACUACCUAUGAAAGUAUUUUUAUAAUUCAUAAUAAUUUAAAUCAUUUUAAUGUUUGAAACUGAUAUAUUAUUAAAACCUGAAAAGAGGAACAUUAUGAACUAUUGAAAAAAAUAGACAUUCUUCAUUAAUAAGUAUUUUAUCAUACUGUAGUAGCAAUUCAGAAUGGGACAAAAAGAAAAAAAAAUGACAAGUCUUUGUUCAGUUUAUGCCAGGCAUCGGUAUUGGUGAAUCCAAAAUCGCUUUAGCCUGUGAUUUAGAGAUAAAAUAAUUUUAUACACUCUGGCCAAGUGUUUUGAAGUCAGUAACUAUUUCUUGUGUGCAGAUAAAUGAGAUAUAUUGACCCUUUUCCAGUGUUCUAAUUUAGGUGUAAACAUUUGAGGGGGAAGCAGGACCAUGCCUAGUACACUUUUCCCCAGGUUCUGCAUGUACAGUGCAAAUGUCUUUGGGGAGUGGUCCUUCAUGCUGCAAGGAUCCAAUUGUGUAAGGUUCCAGGUCACAUGGUUGCCAAGGAAAGGGCUACUCAGCAGCACAAGCAACACAGGGGUCAGAGUUGAUUGAUUCCCCCCUUGCUUAUUGAUUUAAUAAGUAAGCAGAACACCUUACUAGUGCUAAAGCUUACAAUCCAGUGUUCUUCCAUAAGUAGCCCUCCUGCCUUGCUCCCAUGCAUACAGCAUGAUUUCUCAUUAGGGCAAAUUGGGGCACUGUCCUACCGACCCCUCAACCAAUGACCAUACUGUCUCUGUCCUCCGUAUCAGAUCACUCACUCAGUCUCUGGAGUCUGUUUCAGUCUUUGUCAGUGAUGGUCAAUUGGCUGCAAGCUUGCACACAGACACAUGCAUCCAAAGGGCAAUCACUUGUAUAUUGCUAGAUCCCACCAUGCAGAAAGCCAAGGUAGGUCACUGAGACCCACUUUUCCUCUAUUAACUCCUUCCCCUUUCCUGAUUAUUAACAUUUAGGAGUCCUUCAGGAUAUAGUAGUUAGCACAGAGAAAGGAUGGUCUUAACUCCAGCCAAUCCAGCUGCAACAUUUUCAAAGAUUCCAUUCAGAGAGCCCAGCAGCCAUGCUUAUUGUUUUGUUGUCUUAUCUGAAUAAUAUAUGCCUAUGAGACAGAGAUUCUCAUGCAGGCAGUAGAAGGACUUACAGGAGUUGGAGUGAAGCAUUAGGAAAAUAAUCACAGUGGGUGAGUGAAUUGGAAGCGAACUGAUUGGAAGGGGGUUGCCAUCACCAACCUCAAGCACUUUUGCCCCCCCACCCGGCAUUGUUGAAAGCUUUGUAGAAGAGAAAGAAGUUGAAAUAAAAAUUCUCAUUAGUGGUGAUCCUUGGAGCCACUGAACCCUGUGAGGAGAAAAGUGAUUAAUUGUCUUUCUGCCUGCCUACAAAUCAAAGGCAGGUUUCUGGACUACAUGACAGCAGCAGAAUUGUCAGCUUUUUUACUGGCUCUGCUUUUGUGGGUUUAGUAGCAGCCAGACAGGCAAAAAUAAGCAAAUGAAUGUUGCACUGGGCUGGACAACUUUUUUCAGCCCAAGGUUCACAUUCCCUCAUGGGCACCCUUUCAAGUGCCAUAUACCACUGGUGGGCAAAGCCAGAUGCAAAAGUGGGCAGACCAAUGGACCUGACUCUUUUUGUACGGUAGAUUACAUUCUAGCCAUGCAAAAGUUGGAGGUUUCUGUGCAUACACACAUAACCCAAACAUCUCUCCAUCCUCUUUCCAGGCAAACGAGUUCAAGAACCUAUUCCAGCCAUCCCAAAGUACCCAAGGAGGGUAUGGCCUGGUGAGGAGUGUGGUCUAAGGAGAACUCCAAGGGCCAGAUAGGCCCGCAUGGCUGCAUUUGGCCCUUUGGCCUGAGAUUCCCCACCCCUGCAUUAAGAAGUAAACCCCGUUGUUCACAGUGGAAGUUCCUGCUAAGUGUACACAUAGAAACUCAGAUGAAAGGUAUUCCCAUCAUUGAUACGGCCGUGCUAUGAACAGCUUCAACUGUUUUAAUUUCUGCAUGCCAGGCUAAUGUACAGGAAUGUAGGGGGGAAAUGGCUAUGCCUACCAUUGACUUCAUCUAUUGUGACCCUGGCUCCAUUUGUCAUUCACUGCCCUGCCCUCCACCCCACCAGGCCUGAUGGGCACCAGUUGCCACUGGCCCUCCCCAUUGACUUCAGUAGAGAAACAAAACCUUCGCACACAUCUCUUUGAUGUGUGCAGUUACAUUUUCCGUGAAAGGAAUAAGCAAAGCCUUGUGGCUAAGGAGGUCUAUCUGCACACACUGUAAUUCUUGUGCAGGUAAGGAGUUGCUCAUUGGGACAAAUAUGUGGUUAUCUGUGAGAUAAUGUGCACAGUUUACAGUGUAAAUAGCUGUGAGAUUAAAUCAAAUAGAAGCUCAUCCAGUACCACAUUCUUUUGCCAAUAUACCCUGAAAAAGACUCAAGAGGAAAUAUAAAUGGGAGAAGGUUAUAUUUACUUAAAUAUAACAAAUAAGCACAAGAACUUCAGAAGAGCCUGCUGCGUCAAACCAGUGGCCCAUCUAGUCCAGCAUUCUGUGCUCACAGUGGCCAACCAGAUGCCUAUGGGAAGCAUACAAGCAAGACCUGAGUGCAAAAGCACUCUCCCCAGCACUGGUAUUCGGAAGCAUGCUGCCUCCCAACUAUGGAGGCAGAGCAUAGUUAUUAUGGCCAGUACUAACUGAUAGCCGUAACUGCCAUGAAUCUGUCUAAUCUUUUAAAGCCACCCAAAUGGAAGAUUUACAAUAAGAAGCCAAUCAGAUAAGUGCAGGCAGGUGGAGUUAAAUCAAUGUCUCUAAUGGAAUCAGCCCUCCACACCCUGGGCAUGUAAACAACAGCAUAGUUGCCUCCCCAGUCAAGCCAAACAGACCAAAUGAAAACAAACUAUGCCCUACAGUGUGAAGUAUGCUAAACUUCACCUUCCAUGCUAAGAGCCUCGGAUACAGGCGGGCCCCGCUUAUACGGCAGGUUCCAUUCUGGACCCCCGCCGUAAAGCGGAAAUCGCCGUAAAGCGGAACCCCAUUGAGUAUAAUGAGGGGAUGAGGCAAUUCCAUCCCAGCUGAAAGUGGGAAUAUUGUUCCCCAUAGUAGCCAUGCCUGUGGGAAGCCUACAAGUGGUAGCCUUCUCCCACUGUGGUUUACCAGUAAAGUAUUCAGAGGCAGACUGCCUGUCAGUCUGCAAAUAUAGUCAAUAAGUAGCCAUUGUUAAUCUUAUCCUCCCUGAAUUUAUCAAAUCCCCUUUCAAAGCCAACUAAGGUAGUAGCCACCACCACAUCUUGCGCUAGCCAAUUCCACAGUUUGUGCUACAUGGAAAAAUGUUUCCUUUUUUCUGACCUGAAUUUCCUUCCAAUCAAUUUUAUUGGAUGGCCCUGAGUUUUACUGUUAUGAAUGAGAGAGAGAGACAAACUUUAUUGCAAAUUUAGCCAUAGGCCAUGUGCACAUAGAUAUACAUACAUUGUAGCAAUAACUUAUCAUGAACAAUAUUAUCCUAAAGGAUUAUAACCUCUCUAUCCACCCUUUAACAAAGGACUCAAUUUUUGUGCAGCCAAAGCAAAAUUGGCUACUGCCAGAGUCACUGGAUUAAAAUUGUCGAGUAAAAGCACGUUGACCUUCUCUCUAUCAGAGCAAGGUAUCAAAAUGUUUAAAAAGGAAUUUAAAUUUUUUUGCCUAGGGUCUUCAUACAGUGGACAGUAAAGUAAAUAAUGAAGGAUGUCCUCCACUGCCUUGCAACCAUAAAUACAUUGACGCUGUUCCACUGGUAUACCACGAAACCGGCCUUCCAGGUAUGCAGUAGGCAUUACUUGAAAACACAAAGCUGUAAAAGCUCUUCUAAUAGGGGCUCUAUCAAGAACAUCUAGAUAAUAUGACAUGAAAUGGUUAAUUUUAAACUUUGGGAACCAUAGUGAAAAAGAGGCCGUUACUAUGGACGCGCGGUCCUGUGCUGCAUCACAGUCAAAAAUCCAAUUACGGAGGCCAACUUUACUAAAUUUCAUUAAUUUGGUUUGAGAGAGAUCAUAUUUUGAGAGAAUCGACUGGCAUAUCAACGCCAUCCUCCCGAAAUCAAUUGAUCUUGCCAACAUUGCUUGACUAGGCCUGAAUCGUCCAUAUUGAAAAUUCAGAGCCAAAACCGUAAAUAGGCUAAAUCAAUGCGUGCUGCUACUGAAGGCAGACCCAGCUCAGCUCUAAGAUGAGCUGCUGGAGUCCCCAUAGGAAGACCUAGCACUUGUCUCAUAAAGGUAUUCUGCAAAGUGUCUAAAUUGGAUCUAGCUGCAACUCCCCACAAUUCUGUGCCAUAUAAAAUCUUUGAGAGUAUUUUGGCCUUUAAGAUUUUUAUCAUGGGGGGAACUAGCUGACCUUCCCGAAUAAAAAACCUUUUGGCUAAGCCGAGGGCACGAUGACCAACCAGAGAUGCUGCCUUUAUCUGCGGGGUCCAAGAGAGUCUAUUGGACAAAUAGAUUCCAAGAUAUUUAAAAGUUGAGACCUGUUCUAUUGGUACUCCAUUUAUUGACCAUUUAUUCUUAGCUUUCAUAAACUUGCCACAAACCAUUAUUUUGGAUUUGGCUUGGUUGAUCGUAAGAUUCUGGGAAUGACAAUACUCUUCCAAUUUUUGGAUCAUACGCUUGAGGCCUAUUUUUGUUAAAGAGCAUAAGGCCACAUCAUCAGCAUAUAAAAGAAUGGAAAUCUUUUUGGUACCAAUUGAGGGGGGGAAAAAAGAAGGCGAUGACAGUGCCUCUACAAUAUCAUUUAUAAAAAAAUUAAAUAAAAAGGGUGCCAAAAGACACCCUUGCUUAACUCCCCUGUACACUGGGAUUUUGGUGGAUAGGUUACCAUUGGUCCCUUGUCUCACCUGAAUAACGUUAGACUGAUAAAGGGCCCUAAUCAACCAGAACAACCUACGGUCUAUAUUUGUCUGGGCCAAUUUUUUCCAAAGGAGUUCCCUGUCAACUGUGUCAAAAGCUGCAGAAAAAUCGACAAAAGCAAUAUAUAAAGAUGGAAAAACUUUAGAUCUUGUUUUUU